UCAGACGAUGCGUCAUGCAUAUCAAUAAGCGGAGGAAAAGAAACUAACAAGGAUUCCCCUAGUAACGGCGAGUGAAGCGGGAAGAGCUCAAAUUUGAAAUCUUAAAGGGUUUCCCUUUACGAAUUGUAGUUUAAAGAAGUGUUUUCUGUUGAGGUUUUGGUAAAAGUUCUUUGGAAUAGGACAUCAUAGAGGGUGAGAAUCCCGUAUUUGGUCAUUCCUUCUAGCUUUGUGAUACACUUUCAAAGAGUCGGAUUGUUUGGGAAUGCAGUCCAAAAUGGGUGGUAAAUUUCAUCUAAAGCUAAAUAUUGGCGAGAGACCGAUAGCGAACAAGUACCGUGAGGGAAAGAUGAAAAGAACUUUGAAAAGAGAGUUAAACAGUACGUGAAAUUGUCAAAAGGGAAGCGUUUGACACCAGUGUUGUUUUUCUGAAAAUCAAUCAAAGAACUGUUUAUGCUAAGCUGUUUAGACUUUAUCAGCUAUCUGUUUAGUUUUGAGCUUUUCUUUAAUGCACUUUUCAGUUAACAAGUCAACAUCAAUCUCUUUUGCUGUAAAAAAGCUUGAGGAAGGUGGCUUGAGAUUCGUCUUAAGUGUUUAUAGCCUCAUGCCUAUGCAGUCGGAGAGAUUGAGGUCUGCAGCGUAGAUCCUUCGGGGCUAAAUGCAUUUGUGCUAAGUUAUAGCAUUUUAUAGACAACUUGUUGACUACGAUUUGUCUUGUAGCUUACUCGCUUAUGUUAUUUUACCUACGCUUAGGAUGUUGAGCGCAUGUCUCUCUCU
rnacentral:rRNA from 1 species